GUUUGAUUCUUUGUAGAGGUUGGCCCGGCCCCGGAAAGGCGGCCAAGGAACCAGCAGAGUUUUUCCUGGCUCAGAACGAACGCUGGCGGCAGGCUUAACACAUGCAAGUCGAACGCCCCGCAAGGGGAGUGGCAGACGGGUGAGUAACGCGUGGGAACAUACCCUUAUCUUCGGAACAACUCCGGGAAACUGGAGCUAAUACCGAAUGUGCCCUUCGGGGGAAAGAUUUAUCGGAUAAGGAUUGGCCCGCGUUGGAUUAGCUAGUUGGUGGGGUAAAGGCCUACCAAGGCGACGAUCCAUAGCUGGUCUGAGAGGAUGAUCAGCCACAUUGGGACUGAGACACGGCCCAAACUCCUACGGGAGGCAGCAGUGGGGAAUAUUGGACAAUGGGCGCAAGCCUGAUCCAGCCAUGCCGCGUGAGUGAUGAAGGCCUUAGGGUUGUAAAGCUCUUUCACCGGAGAAGAUAAUGACGGUAUCCGGAGAAGAAGCCCCGGCUAACUUCGUGCCAGCAGCCGCGGUAAUACGAAGGGGGCUAGCGUUGUUCGGAAUUACUGGGCGUAAAGCGCACGUAGGCGGACAUUUAAGUCAGGGGUGAAAUCCCGGGGCUCAACCUCGGAACUGCCUUUGAUACUGGGUGUCUUGAGUGUGGAAGAGGUCAGUGGAAUUGCGAGUGUAGAGGUGAAAUUCGUAGAUAUUCGCAGGAACACCAGUGGCGAAGGCGGCUAGGUCCACAACGACGGAGGUGCGAAAGCG
rnacentral:rRNA from 2 species